rnacentral:rRNA from 1 species
UGCAGUCGAGCGGACAGAUGGGAGCUUGCUCCCUGAUGUUAGCGGCGGACGGGUGAGUAACACGUGGGUAACCUGCCUGUAAGACUGGGAUAACUCCGGGAAACCGGGGCUAAUACCGGAUGCUUGUUUGAACCGCAUGGUUCAAACAUAAAAGGUGGCUUCGGCUACCACUUACAGAUGGACCCGCGGCGCAUUAGCUAGUUGGUGAGGUAACGGCUCACCAAGGCGACGAUGCGUAGCCGACCUGAGAGGGUGAUCGGCCACACUGGGACUGAGACACGGCCCAGACUCCUACGGGAGGCAGCAGUAGGGAAUCUUCCGCAAUGGACGAAAGUCUGACGGAGCAACGCCGCGUGAGUGAUGAAGGUUUUCGGAUCGUAAAGCUCUGUUGUUAGGGAAGAACAAGUGCCGUUCAAAUAGGGCGGCACCUUGACGGUACCUAACCAGAAAGCCACGGCUAACUACGUGCCAGCAGCCGCGGUAAUACGUAGGUGGCAAGCGUUGUCCGGAAUUAUUGGGCGUAAAGGGCUCGCAGGCGGUUUCUUAAGUCUGAUGUGAAAGCCCCCGGCUCAACCGGGGAGGGUCAUUGGAAACUGGGGAACUUGAGUGCAGAAGAGGAGAGUGGAAUUCCACGUGUAGCGGUGAAAUGCGUAGAGAUGUGGAGGAACACCAGUGGCGAAGGCGACUCUCUGGUCUGUAACUGACGCUGAGGAGCGAAAGCGUGGGGAGCGAACAGGAUUAGAUACCCUGGUAGUCCACGCCGUAAACGAUGAGUGCUAAGUGUUAGGGGGUUUCCGCCCCUUAGUGCUGCAGCUAACGCAUUAAGCACUCCGCCUGGGGAGUACGGUCGCAAGACUGAAACUCAAAAGGAAUUGACGGGGGCCCGCACAAGCGGUGGAGCAUGUGGUUUAAUUCGAAGCAACGCGAAGAACCUUACCAGGUCUUGACAUCCUCUGACAAUCCUAGAGAUAGGACGUCCCCUUCGGGGGCAGAGUGACAGGUGGUGCAUGGUUGUCGUCAGCUCGUGUCGUGAGAUGUUGGGUUAAGUCCCGCAACGAGCGCAACCCUUGAUCUUAGUUGCCAGCAUUCAGUUGGGCACUCUAAGGUGACUGCCGGUGACAAACCGGAGGAAGGUGGGGAUGACGUCAAAUCAUCAUGCCCCUUAUGACCUGGGCUACACACGUGCUACAAUGGGCAGAACAAAGGGCAGCGAAACCGCGAGGUUAAGCCAAUCCCACAAAUCUGUUCUCAGUUCGGAUCGCAGUCUGCAACUCGACUGCGUGAAGCUGGAAUCGCUAGUAAUCGCGG